GUCAGCACCCCGCACUAAAGUGACGGGGCUAUGCGGGGAGCGCAGGCUAUUCGCUUCGCGAAGGCUUCGCCAACGCCAAUAUGCCUCCGACUUUAGGUAGCUGACCAGUCUAAGCGCAAGCUACGUUCGGAUUAAGAGUUAAAGUUCAUACCUUGGGUUACGAUGCUAGACCCAAGCUCUAUA
rnacentral:sRNA from 15 species